UACGGGGGGGGCAAGCGUUGUUCGGAAUUACUGGGCGUAAAGGGCUCGUAGGCGGCCAACUAAGUCGGAUGUGAAAUCCCCAAGCUUAACUUGGGAACUGCAUUUGAUACUGGCGUGCUUGAGGACUGGAGAGGAGACUGGAAUUUACGGUGUAGCAGUGAAAUGCGUAGAGAUCGUAAGGAAGACCAGUGGCGAAGGCGGGUCUCUGGACAGUUCCUGACACUGAGGCACGAAGGCCAGGGGAGCAAACGGG
rnacentral:rRNA from 1 species